rnacentral:rRNA from 1 species
UGGGGAAUCUUGCACAAUGGAGGAAACUCUGAUGCAGCGACGCCGCGUGAGCGAAGAAGCCUUUCGGGGUGUAAAGCUCUUACGCCAGGGACGAUAAUGACGGUACCUGGAGAAGCAGCUGCGGCUAACUACGUGCCAGCAGCCGCGGUAAUACGUAGGCAGCAAGCGUUGUUCGGAAUUACUGGGCGUAAAGGGUGCGUAGGCGGCGCUCUAAGUUUGGUGUGAAAUCUCCCGGCUUAACUGGGAGGGUGCACUGAAAACUGGGGCGCUCGAGUAUGGGAGAGGAAAGCGGAAUUCCUGGUGUAGCGGUGAAAUGCGUAGAUAUCAGGAGGAACACCGGCGGUGUAGACGGCUUGCUAGACCAUAACUGACGCUGAGGCACGAAAGCGUGGGUAGCAAAC